CUACGGGUGGCACCAGUGAGGAAUAUUGCACAAUGGGGGGAACCCUGAUGCAGCAACGCCGCGUGGAGGAUGACGCAUUUCGGUGUGUAAACUCCUUUUAUAUGUCAAGAAAAUGACGGUAGCAUAUGAAUAAGCGCCGGCUAACUCCGUGCCAGCAGCCGCGGUAAUACGGAGGGCGCAAGCGUUACUCGGAAUCACUGGGCGUAAAGGACGCGUAGGCGGGUUGAAAAGUCAGGUGUGAAAGCCUACAGCUUAACUGUAGAACUGCACUUGAAACUCUCAACCUAGAGUAUGGGAGGGGCAGAUGGAAUUAGUGGUGUAGGGGUAAUAUCCGUAGAUAUCACUAGGAAUACCUAAAGCGAAGGCGAUCUGCUGGAACAUUACUGACGCUAAGGCGUGAAAGCGUGGGGAGCAAACAGGAUUAGAUACCCUGGUAGUC
rnacentral:rRNA from 1 species